GCAAUGGGCGAAAGCCUGACGCAGCGACGCCGCGUGGGGGAUGACGGCCUUCGGGUUGUAAACCUCUUUUACCACCAACGCAGGCUCGAAGUUUUCUUCGGGUUGACGGUAGGUGGGGAAUAAGGACCGGCUAACUACGUGCCAGCAGCCGCGGUAAUACGUAGGGUCCGAGCGUUGUCCGGAAUUAUUGGGCGUAAAGAGCUCGUAGGCGGCGUGUCGCGUCUGCUGUGAAAGACCGGGGCUUAACUCCGGUUCUGCAGUGGAUACGGGCAUGCUAGAGGUAGGUAGGGGAGACUGGAAUUCCUGGUGUAGCGGUGAAAUGCGCAGAUAUCAGGAGGAACACCGGUGGCGAAGGCGGGUCUCUGGGCCUUACCUGACGCUGAGGAGCGAAAGCAUGGGGAGCGAACAGGAUUAGAUACCCUGGUAGUCCAUGCCGUAAACGUUGGGCGCUAGGUGUGGGGACUUUCCACGGUUUCCGCGCCGUAGCUAACGCAUUAAGCGCCCCGCCUGGGGAGUACGGCCGCAAGGCUAAAACUCAAAGGAAUUGACGGGGGCCCGCACAAGCGGCGGAGCAUGUUGCUUAAUUCGACGCAACGCGAAGAACCUUACCAAGGUUUGACAUCACCCGUGGACUCGCAGAGAUGUGAGGUCAUUUAGUUGGCGGGUGACAGGUGGUGCAUGGCUGUCGUCAGCUCGUGUCGUGAGAUGUUGGGUUAAGUCCCGCAACGAGCGCAACCCUUGUUCCAUGUUGCCAGCACGUAAUGGUGGGGACUCAUGGGAGACUGCCGGGGUCAACUCGGAGGAAGGUGGGGAUGACGUCAAGUCAUCAUGCCCCUUAUGUCUUGGGCUGCAAACAUGCUACAAUGGCCGGUACAAUGGGCGUGCGAUACCGCAAGGUGGAGCGAAUCCCUAAAAGCCGGUCUCAGUUCGGAUUGGGGUCUGCAACUCGACCCCAUGAAGGUGGAGUCGCUAGUAAUCGCGGAUCAGCAACGCCGCGGUGAAUACGUUCCCGGGCCUUGUACACACCGCCCGUCACGUCAUGAAAGUCGGCAACACCCGAAACUUGCGGCCUAACCCCUUGUGGGAGGGAGUGAGUGAAGGUGGGGCUGGCGAUUGGGACGAAGUCGUAACA
rnacentral:rRNA from 1 species